GAUGAACGCUGGCGGCGUGCCUAAUACAUGCAAGUCGAGCGAACGGACUAGAAGCUUUCUUCUCUGAUGUUAGCGUCGGACGUGUGAGUAACACGUGGAUAACCUACCUAUAAGACUGGGAUAACUUCGUGAAACCGGAGCUAAUACCGGAUGAUAUUUUGAACCGCAUGGUUCAAAAGUGAAAGACGGUCUUGCUGUCACUUAUAGAUGGAUCAGCGCUGCAUUAGCUAGUUGGUAAGGUAACGGCUUACCAAGGCAACAAUGCAUAGCCGAUCUAAGAGGGUGAUCGGCCACACUGGAACUGAGACACGGUCCAGACUCCUACGGAAGGCAGCAGUAGGGAAUCUUCCGCAAUGGGCGAAAGCCUGACGGGGCAACGCCGCGUGAGUGAUGAAGGUCUUCGGAUCGUAAAACUCUGUUAUUAGGGAAGAACAUAUGUGUAAGUAACUGUGCACAUCUUGACGGUACCUAAACAGAAAGCCACGGCUAACUACGUG
rnacentral:rRNA from 1 species